rnacentral:tRNA from 1 species
GGAGAGGUGGCUCAGUGGUUAGAGCACUGACUGUUCUUUCAGAGGUCCUGAGUUCAAUUCCCAGCAACCACA